GGGGGGGUGGGCUAUGAAAAAUUGGGGGUGGGUCACUAUUUUUCAACACGUCGAAAAGGGUGGGUCAGGAAAAUUUAUGCACUGCAUUAGGGGUGGGUCAGGUAAAAUUAUUCACGUCUCACAAUUUAAUAAAUAGCAAAUAAACUUUUGCGAAAUCUCUUUAACCUAUUAACUUUAUAUAUUAAACACAGGGGCGAAACUAGCCCCUUUUAAUUAGGGGGGUGUCUGGCAGAAUUGCCCUGCCAAAACCAGUGAUGCCCUGCCAAAAAGUACCAAAAAAUUUUUUCCGGAAAAAUUAUUUUGGCGACCUCCCCGAUCGAAUAUUGCCCCCGCCCGGUACGCCUAUGUGCUAUCAUUUAUUUAUAAGAGACCUUUGAUUGCCCUGCCAAUCGGGACGAUUCGUAUUUUGGGGUGGUGUAACACCCCCCCCACACCCCCCCCUCAAGUUUCGCCCCUGAUUAGACAACAGGAAUUCACAUUUGUAUACAGUACAUUGGGAAGUGUUCUAGUUACCGUAGUCUACUCAAUGUCAGGGCCGUAGCAACCGGGGGGGGGCUGGGGGGCUGCAGCCCCCCCAAUAAUUUGCUAAUAAUCAUUCUUUUUUCAAAAUCAUGCAAACUUUAUCAUUUAAUCUGUGACAAACUGCAAAGAAUGAAGAUAUUACUCAUACUCCAGAUCGUUCCUCGCGUAGAAAUUUUAGCUGAAUUUCUGUCGCGCAUUUUCAAGAAAAUCCCACAAAAUCUGCACAUUUUUGAUGAACUAAUGAUUUAUUUUGUCUUUUGCGUGUUGGGUCUUGCGAAAGAAAACUCUGAAAAUGCCAUUUCAGACCAUCUAGAGACUCCAGAUUUUCGAAAUUUUCUCAAAUGUUCUGCCUUCAUUUCCGCGCAACUGCCAUUUACGACGAAAAUUCCCGCCGCGCAUUUAUAAUACUACAGUCUGGCCCAUACUUUCCUGUAAAUUUCGACAUACUAAAACGCUGUUUUCUGACUAUCAGAAUUCUGUUAAAUCUUCCCCCAAAGUCCAGGAAAUGGCAUUUUAGAGACUCUAAAUUUAAAAAUUUCCUCGGGCCUUCGGCCCUCGCUUUCAGCCCCCCCAAUCGAAAAGAGCUUCCUACGGCCCUGAAUGUACUGUCAUGCAUUAUGUUUGGACAUAGUUGAAUUAUGUUCAAGAGUCGGGCGGCGUGUUACAACAUUUCAAUCUCGGAGAUUUUUCGGGGAUUCUGACUAAACUAGUAAAGAAUCGUGGUAAGCCAAUGCUGCCAACGUACGCGCACCUAUCUACAUUACCGUACAGUACAUUAUCUACAUGAC